rnacentral:rRNA from 1 species
CCUACGGGAGGCAGCAGUGAGGAAUAUUGGUCAAUGGACGCAAGUCUGAACCAGCCAUGCCGCGUGCAGGAAGACGGCUCUAUGAGUUGUAAACUGCUUUUGUACGAGGGUAAACGCAGAUACGUGUAUCUGUCUGAAAGUAUCGUACGACUAAGGAUCGGCUACCUCCGUGCCAGCAGCAGCGGUAAUACGGAGGAUUCAAGCGUUAUCCGGGUUUAUUGGGUUUAAAGGGUGCGUAGGCGGUCGGAUAAGUUAGAGGUGAAAUCCCGAGGCUCAACUUCGGAAUUGCCUCUGAUACUGUUCGGCUAGAGAGUAGUUGCGGUAGGCGGAAUGUAUGGUGUAGCGGUGAAAUGCUUAGAGAUCAUACAGAACACCGAUUGCGAAGGCAGCUUACCAAACUAUAUCUGACGUUGAGGCACGAAAGCGUGGGUAGCAAACAGGAUUAGAUACCCCUGUAGUC